UUGUUUCAUGGAGGGACUGAGCUGCAGGU
rnacentral:piRNA from 1 species